rnacentral:rRNA from 1 species
AGAGUUUGAUCCUGGCUCAGGAUGAACGCUAGCUACAGGCUUAACACAUGCAAGUCGAGGGGCAGCAUGGUCUUAGCUUGCUAAGGCCGAUGGCGACCGGCGCACGGGUGAGUAACACGUAUCCAACCUGCCGUCUACUCUUGGACAGCCUUCUGAAAGGAAGAUUAAUACAAGAUGGCAUCAUGAGUCCGCAUGUUCACAUGAUUAAAGGUAUUCCGGUAGACGAUGGGGAUGCGUUCCAUUAGAUAGUAGGCGGGGUAACGGCCCACCUAGUCUUCGAUGGAUAGGGGUUCUGAGAGGAAGGUCCCCCACAUUGGAACUGAGACACGGUCCAAACUCCUACGGGAGGCAGCAGUGAGGAAUAUUGGUCAAUGGACGAGAGUCUGAACCAGCCAAGUAGCGUGAAGGAUGACUGCCCUAUGGGUUGUAAACUUCUUUUAUAUGGGAAUAAAGUUGUCCACGUGUGGAUUUUUGUAUGUACCUUAUGAAUAAGGAUCGGCUAACUCCGUGCCAGCAGCCGCGGUAAUACGGAGGAUCCGAGCGUUAUCCGGAUUUAUUGGGUUUAAAGGGAGCGUAGGCGGGUGCUUAAGUCAGUUGUGAAAGUUUGCGGCUCAACCGUAAAAUUGCAGUUGAUACUGGAUAUCUUGAGUGCAGUUGAGGCAGGCGGAAUUCGUGGUGUAGCGGUGAAAUGCUUAGAUAUCACGAAGAACUCCGAUUGCGAAGGCAGCCUGCUAAGCUGCAACUGACAUUGAGGCUCGAAAGUGUGGGUAUCAAACAGGAUUAGAUACCCUGGUAGUCCACACGGUAAACGAUGAAUACUCGCUGUUUGCGAUAUACUGCAAGCGGCCAAGCGAAAGCGUUAAGUAUUCCACCUGGGGAGUACGCCGGCAACGGUGAAACUCAAAGGAAUUGACGGGGGCCCGCACAAGCGGAGGAACAUGUGGUUUAAUUCGAUGAUACGCGAGGAACCUUACCCGGGCUUGAAUUGCAACUGAAUGAUGUGGAGACAUGUCAGCCGCAAGGCAGUUGUGAAGGUGCUGCAUGGUUGUCGUCAGCUCGUGCCGUGAGGUGUCGGCUUAAGUGCCAUAACGAGCGCAACCCUUGUUGUCAGUUACUAACAGGUUCCGCUGAGGACUCUGACAAGACUGCCAUCGUAAGAUGUGAGGAAGGUGGGGAUGACGUCAAAUCAGCACGGCCCUUACGUCCGGGGCUACACACGUGUUACAAUGGGGGGUACAGAGGGCCGCUACCACGCGAGUGGAUGCCAAUCCCCAAAACCUCUCUCAGUUCGGACUGGAGUCUGCAACCCGACUCCACGAAGCUGGAUUCGCUAGUAAUCGCGCAUCAGCCAUGGCGCGGUGAAUACGUUCCCGGGCCUUGUACACACCGCCCGUCAAGCCAUGGGAGCCGGGGGUACCUGAAGUGCGUAACCGCGAGGAGCGCCCUAGGGUAAAACUGGUGACUGGGGCUAAGUCGUAACAAGGUAGCCGUACCGGAAGGUGCGGCUG